GUUUUGUUGAAGGGGCCUAUCAAGGGGGGUUUGGGCGUGGCUGGGAGGCUGCUUAUGGAUCCAUAGUCAAACAGGAUCUGAGAAAAGGGCUUCUGCUUUGCUAUUACAGACCACCUGCACUACAUCAAUGGAGACAGAGACAGAGAUUGUGUGUUAUUCAUCUUCAAGUACUCAAUAACAUGCCCAUUAUCUUUGUAGACUCAACCUUCGAUUUCUCGACAACGACGCCAUCGUUUCCGGCGAGAGCUCUGUACUUGUCUUUUCUGGUGAAGUUAGUGCACUUAUACGAC